UACAUAGGUAGAUGGUGGACUAUACAUAGGUAGAUGACCAGUAGAGUAUAAUCUUGUAUUGGUGGACUAUACAUAGGUAGAUGGUGGACUAUACAUAGGUAGAUGGUGGACUAUACAUAGGUAGAUGACCAGUAGAGUAUAAUCUUGUAUUGGUGGACUAUACAUAGGUAGAUGGUGGACUAUACAUAGGUAGAUGGUGGACUAUACAUAGGUAGAUGACCAGUAGAGUAUAAUCUUGUAUUGGUGGACUAUACAUAGGUAGAUGGUGGACUAUACAUAGGUAGAUGGUGGACUAUACAUAGGUAGAUGACCGGUAGAGUAUAAUCCUGUAUUGAUGGGUUAUACAUAGGUAGAUGACCGUUAGAGUAUAAUCUUGUAUUGGUGGACUAUACAUAGGUAGAUGGUGGACUAUACAUAGGUAGAUGGUGGGCUAUACAUAGGUAGAUGGUGGACUAUACAUAGGUAGAUGGUGGACUAUACAUAGGUAGAUGGUGGACUAUACAUAGGUAGAUGACCGGUAGAGUAUAAUCUUGUAUUGGUGGACUAUACAUAGGUAGAUGGUGGACUAUACAUAGGUAGAUGGUGGACUAUACAUAGGUAGAUGGUGGACUAUACAUAGGUAGAUGACUGGUAGAGUAUAAUCUUGUAUUGGUGGACUAUACAUAGGUAGAUGGUGGACUAUACAUAGGUAGAUGACCAGUAGAGUAUAAUCCUGUAUUGGUGGACUAUACAUAGGUAGAUGGUGGACUAUACAUAGGUAGAUGGUGGACUAUACAUAGGUAGAUGACCGGUAGAGUAUAAUCUUGUAUUGGUGGCUAUGAUUGUGUCCUUUGGACCGCCAUGCUGUGAUCAUCAUUGUUUUCGUACUGGUUGUGUUACAUCGCGGGUGUUUCCACUGACUAUGAUGAUGUAUGGUUGUUGUGACAGUUUGAGUUGUAAAAGCAUUAUCACCGAUCCUUCCUCACCAUGUGGCCUUUUUCAAACCUGAAUGAUUAAAAUUCGGUCAGGCAGAUUCUUUGGACCCCUAUGCAUAUCUUAUCUGUAGUAUGUCCACACCCAAGGUCGAGAAAAAUAUACCGAAUGAUUCUCUGAUUAGGUUGAAGUAUUGGGGGGUGGAGGGUCAUGGGGAGUUGGCCCUUUUGACCCUUAUAAAGUCCAGGUAAAUACCCGGUCACAUGUGGUAACAUAUCCCAUCAUAAAAUAGAUUGUUCAGAGUAGGAUUUGCUUCACCUUUUAGACGAAGAUCAAGGAUUUAUUUUUAUAGUUACCUAAAUUAAACUGUAAUCCAAAGUAUAACCUGUAUAUUGUAGACAGCUGAUUUUGUUAAUGUUAUUUUGAUCGCUUGGUCAGAUGUCCAAGUGUUGACAUAUGACUGAGUGACCGAUAAUAUAAUCAGCCUUACCUGCUGUGAAACAAUUAGAUGAGCAAACAUAUUUGGGCAAUAUAGUUGGUGCUCACAGUACUGAAUUACCAUUUAUGUAGGUAGCCUUAUUAGCCAACCGACGAACACGUGAGCAAACAGUUCUGGACAAGGUGUUUGACCGUCAUGUAAACUUGAAAAGAAUAUGUGUACCAUGCCCUACUUUGGAAUGCUGUGGACAAAAGUGGACAUUGGUCUUAUAAAUCGCGCCUGUUACAUGUUGAUUAAGAUAUAACCCAAGUUCAAGGGUUGUCGAGUUUUAAUACAUGAUGGUAUUUAAGAUUGACCACAAGUAUGUGUUGUAUGGCACAUCUAAAAUAGAACUAUCUGACCUGGUCUGGUGAAAUGUGACCACUCAUUCACGUGCCUACCUAUCUCGCUGUCCUGUUCAUACAUCAAUAAAUGACAUGGUCAGUUAUUCCCUUCACCUUUUGAAGUAAAACUUUAUCAUUUGUGGAUCAGAUUCCAGUUUAUAUAGGAUGGAUGAAAUCAUUUAAUUGUGAAAUUCAACUAGACCCAGGUCAACUUAGAUAAAAAAAAUGAGGAUAGUAGCAUAAUUUUCAUACAGAUUAGAAUUGAAACUGGUGAUUUUUUAAUUAUCAUACAAUUAACCAAGAUUCACUAAAAAUAUGU